UAAUACAGAGGUCUCAAGCGUUGUUCGGAUUCAUUGGGCGUAAAGGGUGCGUAGGUGGCGCCGUUAGUCAGGUGUGAAAUCUCGGGGCUUAACUCCGAAACUGCAUUUGAUACUGCGGUGCUCGAGGACUGGAGAGGAGACUGGAAUUUACGGUGUAGCAGUGAAAUGCGUAGAGAUCGUAAGGAAGACCAGUGGCGAAGGCGGGUCUCUGGACAGUUCCUGACACUGAGGCACGAAGGCCAGGGGAGCAAACGGGA
rnacentral:rRNA from 1 species